rnacentral:rRNA from 1 species
GACGAACGCUGGCGGCGUGCUUAACACAUGCAAGUCGAACGGAAAGGCCCUGCUUUUGUGGGGUGCUCGAGUGGCGAACGGGUGAGUAACACGUGAGUAACCUGCCCUUGACUUUGGGAUAACUUCAGGAAACUGGGGCUAAUACCGGAUAGGAGCUCCUGCUGCAUGGUGGGGGUUGGAAAGUUUCGGCGGUUGGGGAUGGACUCGCGGCUUAUCAGCUUGUUGGUGGGGUAGUGGCUUACCAAGGCUUUGACGGGUAGCCGGCCUGAGAGGGUGACCGGCCACAUUGGGACUGAGAUACGGCCCAGACUCCGACGGGGGGCAGCAGUGGGGAAUAUUGCACAAUGGGCGGAAGCCGGAUGCAGCAACGCCGCGUGCGGGAUGACGGCCUUCGGGUUGUAAACCGCUUUCGCCUGUGACGAAGCGUGAGUGACGGUAAUGGGUAAAGAAGCACCGGCUAACUACGUG